rnacentral:piRNA from 1 species
UGCAUAGACCAUUUUACUUUUCAGAGGU